rnacentral:rRNA from 1 species
GAUGAACGCUGGCGGCGUGCCUAGUACAUGCAAGUCGAGCGAACGGACGAGAAGCUUGCUUCUCUGAUGUUAGCGGCGGACGGGUGAAUAACACGUGGAUAACCUACCUAUAAGACUGGGAUAACUUCGGGAAACCGUAGCUAAUACCGUAUAAUAUUUUGAACCGCAUGGUUCAAAAGUGAAAGACGGUCUUGCUGUCACUUAUAGAUGGAUCCGCGCUGCAUUAGCUAGUUGGUAAGGUAACGGCUUACCAAGGCAACGAUGCAUAGCCGACCUGAGAGGGUGAUCGGCCACACUGGAACUGAGACACGGUCCAGACUCCUACGGGAGGCAGCAGUAGGGAAUCUUACGCAGUGGGCGAAAGCCUGACGGAGCAACGCCGAGUGAGUGAUGAAGGUCUUCGGAUCGUAAAACUCUGUUAUUAGGGAAGAACAUAUGUGUAAGUAACUGUGCACAUCUUGACGGUACCUAAUCAGAAAGCCACGGCUAACUACGUG